CGCGAAGAAGAAAAGAAAGACAGACACAUAUCAAGAGAUUCAAGAUGGAAUCUAUCUUUGAUUCUCUGAUAAGCACCGUUGGUGUGUUAGUUGCUUAUAGCAGUCGUAUAUAUAUUUUGUGUCGGCUGCAAUUGCUCUUGGUCUGCUAACGGCUGCAGUCGUAUCCUUAUCAUCAUCAUCAUCAUUAUCACGGUCCCAAGGUUUCACG